rnacentral:rRNA from 1 species
GACGAACGCUGGCGGCGUGCUUAACACAUGCAAGUCGAACGGAAAGGCCCUGCUUGCAGGGUGCUCGCGUGGCGAACGGGUGAGUAACACGUGGGUGAUCUGCCCCUUACUUUGGGAUAAGCCUGGGAAACUGGGUCUAAUACUGGAUAGGACCAUGCUGUAGGUGGUGUGGUGGAAAGAUUAGUUUCGGUAAGGGAUGAGCUCGCGGCCUAUCAGCUUGUUGGUGGGGUAUUGGCCUACCAAGGCGUUGACGGGUAGCCGGCCAGAGAGGGUGGACGGCACGAUUGAGACUGCGACACGGGGCAGCAGCCUGCAGUAGGCAGCAGUGGGGAAUAGUGCGCAGUAGGCGCACGCCGUGUGUGGCGACGGCGUGCGGAGGGUGACGGCCUUCGGGUUGUAAACUACUAUCGGCCAUGACGAAGCCCUUGUGGUGACGGUAGUGGUAGAAGAAGCACCGGCUAACUACGUG